GAUGAACGCUGGCGGCGUGCCUAAUACAUGCAAGUCGAGCGAAUGGAUUAAGAGCUUGCUCUUAUGAAGUUAGCGGCGGACGGGUGAGUAACACGUGGGUAACCUGCCCAUAAGACUGGGAUAACUCCGGGAAACCGGGGCUAAUACCGGAUAACAUUUUGAACCGCAUGGUUCGAAAUUGAAAGGCGGCUUCGGCUGUCACUUAUGGAUGGACCCGCGUCGCAUUAGCUAGUUGGUGAGGUAACGGCUCACAAAGGCAACGAUGCGUAGCCGACCCGAGAGGGUGGUCGGCCACACUGGGACUGAGACACGGCCCAGACUCCUACGGGAGGAAGCAGUAGGGAAUCUUCCGCAAUGGACGAAAGUCUGACGGAGCAACGCCGCGUGAGUGAUGAAGGCUUUCGGGUCGUAAAACUCUGUUGUUAGGGAAGAACAAGUGCUAGUUGAAUAAGCUGACACCUUGACGGUACCUAACCAGAAAGCCACGGCUAACUACGUGCCAGCCGCCGCAGUAA
rnacentral:rRNA from 1 species